rnacentral:ncRNA from 1 species
GAAAGCCGUAUGAGGGAAAACCUCACGUACGGUUUGAUGAGGAGGAGCUGGGAAGACCAGCCCUCUACUCUAGU